rnacentral:rRNA from 1 species
AGAGUUUGAUCCUGGCUCAGGAUGAACGCUGGCGGCGUGCCUAAUACAUGCAAGUCGAACGGGAAAUUUGUAUAGAGAGCUUGCUCAAAGUACUUAUUUCUAGUGGCGAACGGGUGAGUAACACGUGGGUAACCUGCCUUUCAGUUGGGGAUAACUAGAGGAAACUUUAGCUAAUACCGAAUAACUGUUAAGACGGCAUCGUCUAAACAUAAAAGGGGCUUUUGCCCCGCUGAUAGAUGGACUCGCGACGCAUUAGGUAGUUGGUGAGAUAACAGCUCACCAAGCCAAGGAUGCGUAGCCGACCUGAGAGGGUGAUCGGCCACAAUGGGACUGAGACACGGCCCAUACUCCUACGGGAGGCAGCAGUAGGGAGUUUUCGGCAAUGGGGGGAACCCUGACCGAGCAACGCCGCGUGAACGAUGAAGGUCUUCGGAUCGUAAAGUUCUGUUGUAGCUAGGGAAAGCACGGGAGAGUGGAAAGCUCUCGUUUUGACCCAACUACCAGAAAGCCACGGCUAACUACGUGCCAGCAGCCGCGGUAAUACGUAGGUGGCAAGCGUUAUCCGGAAUUAUUGGGCGUAAAGCGCGCGUAGGCGGUUUCUUAAGUCUGAUGUGAAAGCCCCCGGCUCAACCGGGGAGGGUCAUUGGAAACUGGGAGACUUGAGUGCAGAAGAGGAGAGUGGAAUUCCAUGUGUAGCGGUGAAAUGCGUAGAUAUAUGGAGGAACACCGGUGGCGAAAGCGGCUCUCUGGUCUGUAACUGACGCUGAGGCUCGAAAGCGUGGGGAGCAAACAGGAUUAGAUACCCUGGUAGUCCACGCCGUAAACGAUGAGUACUAAGUGUUGGAGAAAUUCAGUGCUGAAGUUAACAUAUUAAGUUCUCCGCCUGAGUAGUACGUUCGCAAGAAUGAAACUCAAAGGAAUUGACGGGACCCCGCACAAGCAGUGGAGCAUGUGGUUUAAUUCGAUGCUACGCGAAGAACCUUACCAGGGCUUGACAUAGUUCUAAGACUCUAGAAAUAGAGGGAUAUACAGAACAUACAGGUGGUGCAUGGUUGUCGUCAGCUCGUGUCGUGAGAUGUUAGGUUAAGUCCUCCAACGAGCGCAACCCUUGUCCUUAGUUACCAUCAUUAAGUUGGGGACUUUAAGGAGACUGCCGGUGUAAGCCGGAGGAAGGUGGGGAUGACGUCAAAUCAUCAUGCCCUUUAUGUCCUGGGCGACACACGUGCUACAAUGGUCGGUACAAAGAGCUGCAAUGCCGCGAGGCUGAGCGAAUCUCAUAAAGCCGAUCUCAGUUCGGAUUGGAGUCUGCAACUCGACUCCAUGAAGUCGGAAUUGCUAGUAAUCGUAGAUCAGCCAUGCUACGGUGAAUACGUUCCCGGGCCUUGUACACACCGCCCGUCAAACCAUGAGAGCUGGUAAUGCUCGAAGUCGGUAUCCUAACCCGUAAGGGAGGGAGCCGCCCAAGGUAGGACUAGUGAUUGGGGUUAAGUCGUAACAAGGUAUCCCUACGGGAACGUGGGGAUG